GGCGAAGAUAAGACGGAUUAGCGGCGGACGGGUGAGUAACACGUGAGUAACCUGCCUUUUACACAGGGAUAGCCUCGGGAAACCGGGAUUAAAACCUGAUGAAACUAUCAAAUCACAUGAUUAAGAAAGUUAAAACUCCGGUGGUAAAAGAUGGACUCGCGUCCCAUUAGCUAGUUGGUGAAGGUAACGGCCCACCAAGGCAACGAUGGGUAGCCGGCCUGAGAGGGUGAACGGCCACAUUGGAACUGAGAAACGGUCCAAACUCCUACGGGAGGCAGCAGCG
rnacentral:rRNA from 1 species